AACGACUCUCAGCAACAAAUAUCUCAGCUCUCGCAUCGAUGAAGAACGUAGUGAAAUGCGAUAAUUGGUGUGAAUUGUAGGAUCCCACGAACCACCGAGUCUUUGAACGCACGUUGCGCUCAGAACCUUCUAGCUGAGGGCACGUCUGCCUGGGCGUC
rnacentral:rRNA from 1 species